GACGAACGCUGGCGGCGUGCUUAACACAUGCAAGUCGAACGGAAAGGCCCUGCUUUUGUGGGGUGCUCGAGUGGCGAACGGGUGAGUAACACGUGAGUAACCUGCCCUUGACUUUGGGAUAACUUCAGGAAACUGGGGCUAAUACCGGAUAGGAGCUCCUGCUGCAUGGUGGGGGUUGGAAAGUUUCGGCGGUUGGGGAUGGACUCGCGGCUUAUCAGCUUGUUGGUGGGGUAGUGGCUUACCAAGGCUUUGACGGGUAGCCGGCCUGAGAGGGUGAACGGCCACAUGGGGACUGAGAGACGGCCCAGACUCCUACGGUAGGCAGCAGUGGGGAAUAUUGCACAAUGGGCGGAAGCCUGAGGCAGCAACGCCGGGUGCGGGAUGACGGCCUUCGGGUUGUAAACCGCUUUCGCCUGUGACGAAGCGUGAGUGACGGUAAUGGGUAAAGAAGCACCGGCUAACUACGUG
rnacentral:rRNA from 1 species